rnacentral:lncRNA from 1 species
ACCGAAACCCGACUGUUUCCAAGAACCGAUGAUGUGCGGAGAGUGAACCAGGAGCAUCUGAGAAGUUUAGGAAAAGAGGUAGAGAGGUUCAAUGUUGUCGAUAAAGGUUCAAUGCCAUGGUUAAAACAAUUGAAAUAUCAGAUAACACCUGAUGAACUGGAAAUCUGCAAGGGCGCCAGGGUAAUGUUGAUCAAGAACACAGAUCAAGCAAUCAGACUCGUCAACGGCGCAACCAGAGUAGUAACAAGAUUCAAAGCAGGUUCGUCAAUAUCAUCUGAAAACAAUGUAAACGGUGUAGUGCCCAUAGUUAGAUUCGAUUCAAGAUCGGAAGUUCCAUUGGAUGUUGAAAAAUGGGACAUUAUCACAUUAUCGAAGGCAAUGGAGUUAAGGCUUUUCGCCGGCAAGCUCCACUCAUAUUAGCUUGGGCACUUAGUGUUCACAAGUGUCAAGGGAUGACUCUUGAUCGUCUUAAUACCGACCUGACACGGACAUUUGGAUCUGGAAUGGUUUACGUUUCACUUUCUCGAGUUACCACAAUCCAAGGUCUUCGUGUUGCUGGAUUUAUAAAGUCUUGAAAAAAUCAAAGCGAACCCUAAAGUUUUAAAUUUUUACACAAAGUUUAUUUCCACAUCCUCUAACUCUGAUAAGUCUUAGAAAAUUUCCUCUUGUACUUCGUUUAUUACAUGUUUUAUUUAAAAAAAUUCUUAGGGCCAGAGGCCCAUCUUUUUUGGAUCAUAUGUUCUUAAACAACUAAAUUUUUUUUUCUUUAAAACAAAUUGUUUUUAAGCAAACUAGUUCUUAAUUCCAAAAAAGUCAUCAACAUUAUCUCAUUCUGAUCUUUAUUCUUCAUUCCACCAUUAUCUUCAUUCCACCAUUAUCUCACGAUCAAUAAUCUGAGAACGAUUGAUUGAAAUAAAGUCAUCAAUGAUCACCAUCAAUAAUCUGUGAACGAUUAAAGGUGAUUAAAAGGAUCAAUAACUUUUUAAAGGAUGUUGGUAAUCCCAAUCGUCAAUUAACACGAUUAAUCUAACGAUAAUGGAGAAGGUGGAAUAGAAAUGGAGACCAGUUAAUUAUAUUGGUCAAGCUAGAGUCUUGAGUAUCUUACGAUCCUUAUCGCCGAAAGGAAAUGGGUUCCGUCGAAAAUAAACUUGAUGGAGAUUAAAAGACAACGGAGAAUGAAGAAAUCGAAGAUACCCAAUAGCUGCCGAAACCCAAGACGAAGAAACCCAGUAGCUGCCGGAACCUAGGACGAAGAUCGAAACAACCAGUUAAUUAUAUUGGUCAACCUAGAAUCUUGAUUAUCUUACGACCUUAUUAUCGAAAGGAAAUGGGUUCCAUCGAAAAUAAACUGAAUGGAGAUAAAAAGAAAACGGAGGAUGAAGAAAUCGAAGAUACCCAAUAGCUGCCCAAUAUAAUUAAAAUUAGAACAAAGGAACCCAAUAGUUGCUGGAACCCAGAACAAAAACAUCGGAGGAAUAAAGAAAAAGAAGAAUGAACCUAAUAACUAUUGGAAUGAACCCAGAACGAAGACAAUCAAGGAAUAAGACGAAGACGAUAAAAAUAGAUGAUAGACAAUAAAUGAUAGAAUGUUCAUAGAAUGAAUAGAUGAUAGAAUUUUGAUCAUGAAAAAUAGAAUAAACCCACAAAUAAUAAACCCAGAACGAAGACAAUAGAUGAUAGAAUGUUGAUCAUGAAGAACAAACCCAAAAACUGGAGAAUGGUAAACCGAGAAUGAAAACAACCAGAGAAAUAAAAAUAAGAAGAAACCGAAAAGAAGAAGAAACCCAAAAGAAGAUGAAACCCAAAAGAAGAAGGAAUCGAGAACGACAACGGAGGAUGAAGAAGAAACCAGCUUAUAACAGACACCGACAAGACAUGAUAAAAAAG